GGGUUGUGAGGUUAAGCGACUAAGCGUACACGGUGGAUGCCCUGGCAGUCAGAGGCGAUGAAGGACGUGCUAAUCUGCGAUAAGCGUCGGUAAGGUGAUAUGAACCGUUAUAACCGGCGAUUUCCGAAUGGGGAAACCCAGUGUGUUUCGACACACUAUCAUUAACUGAAUCCAUAGGUUAAUGAGGCGAACCGGGGGAACUGAAACAUCUAAGUACCCCGAGGAAAAGAAAUCAACCGAGAUUCCCCCAGUAGCGGCGAGCGAACGGGGAGCAGCCCAGAGCCUGAAUCAGUGUGUGUGUUAGUGGAAGCGUCUGGAAAGGCGCGCGAUACAGGGUGACAGCCCCGUACACAAAAAUGCACAUGCUGUGAGCUCGAUGAGUAGGGCGGGACACGUGGUAUCCUGUCUGAAUAUGGGGGGACCAUCCUCCAAGGCUAAAUACUCCUGACUGACCGAUAGUGAACCAGUACCGUGAGGGAAAGGCGAAAAGAACCCCGGCGAGGGGAGUGAAAAAGAACCUGAAACCGUGUACGUACAAGCAGUGGGAGCACGCUUAGGCGUGUGACUGCGUACCUUUUGUAUAAUGGGUCAGCGACUUAUAUUCUGUAGCAAGGUUAACCGAAUAGGGGAGCCGAAGGGAAACCGAGUCUUAACUGGGCGUUAAGUUGCAGGGUAUAGACCCGAAACCCGGUGAUCUAGCCAUGGGCAGGUUGAAGGUUGGGUAACACUAACUGGAGGACCGAACCGACUAAUGUUGAAAAAUUAGCGGAUGACUUGUGGCUGGGGGUGAAAGGCCAAUCAAACCGGGAGAUAGCUGGUUCUCCCCGAAAGCUAUUUAGGUAGCGCCUCGUGAACUCAUCUCCGGGGGUAGAGCACUGUUUCGGCAAGGGGGUCAUCCCGACUUACCAACCCGAUGCAAACUGCGAAUACCGGAGAAUGUUAUCACGGGAGACACACGGCGGGUGCUAACGUCCGUCGUGAAGAGGGAAACAACCCAGACCGCCAGCUAAGGUCCCAAAGUCAUGGUUAAGUGGGAAACGAUGUGGGAAGGCCCAGACAGCCAGGAUGUUGGCUUAGAAGCAGCCAUCAUUUAAAGAAAGCGUAAUAGCUCACUGGUCGAGUCGGCCUGCGCGGAAGAUGUAACGGGGCUAAACCAUGCACCGAAGCUGCGGCAGCGACACUAUGUGUUGUUGGGUAGGGGAGCGUUCUGUAAGCCUGUGAAGGUGUACUGUGAGGUAUGCUGGAGGUAUCAGAAGUGCGAAUGCUGACAUAAGUAACGAUAAAGCGGGUGAAAAGCCCGCUCGCCGGAAGACCAAGGGUUCCUGUCCAACGUUAAUCGGGGCAGGGUGAGUCGACCCCUAAGGCGAGGCCGAAAGGCGUAGUCGAUGGGAAACAGGUUAAUAUUCCUGUACUUGGUGUUACUGCGAAGGGGGGACGGAGAAGGCUAUGUUGGCCGGGCGACGGUUGUCCCGGUUUAAGCGUGUAGGCUGGUUUUCCAGGCAAAUCCGGAAAAUCAAGGCUGAGGCGUGAUGACGAGGCACUACGGUGCUGAAGCAACAAAUGCCCUGCUUCCAGGAAAAGCCUCUAAGCAUCAGGUAACAUCAAAUCGUACCCCAAACCGACACAGGUGGUCAGGUAGAGAAUACCAAGGCGCUUGAGAGAACUCGGGUGAAGGAACUAGGCAAAAUGGUGCCGUAACUUCGGGAGAAGGCACGCUGAUAUGUAGGUGAGGUCCCUCGCGGAUGGAGCUGAAAUCAGUCGAAGAUACCAGCUGGCUGCAACUGUUUAUUAAAAACACAGCACUGUGCAAACACGAAAGUGGACGUAUACGGUGUGACGCCUGCCCGGUGCCGGAAGGUUAAUUGAUGGGGUUAGCGCAAGCGAAGCUCUUGAUCGAAGCCCCGGUAAACGGCGGCCGUAACUAUAACGGUCCUAAGGUAGCGAAAUUCCUUGUCGGGUAAGUUCCGACCUGCACGAAUGGCGUAAUGAUGGCCAGGCUGUCUCCACCCGAGACUCAGUGAAAUUGAACUCGCUGUGAAGAUGCAGUGUACCCGCGGCAAGACGGAAAGACCCCGUGAACCUUUACUAUAGCUUGACACUGAACAUUGAGCCUUGAUGUGUAGGAUAGGUGGGAGGCUUAGAAGUGUGGACGCCAGUCUGCAUGGAGCCGACCUUGAAAUACCACCCUUUAAUGUUUGAUGUUCUAACGUUGACCCGUAAUCCGGGUUGCGGACAGUGUCUGGUGGGUAGUUUGACUGGGGCGGUCUCCUCCUAAAGAGUAACGGAGGAGCACGAAGGUUGGCUAAUCCUGGUCGGACAUCAGGAGGUUAGUGCAAUGGCAUAAGCCAGCUUGACUGCGAGCGUGACGGCGCGAGCAGGUGCGAAAGCAGGUCAUAGUGAUCCGGUGGUUCUGAAUGGAAGGGCCAUCGCUCAACGGAUAAAAGGUACUCCGGGGAUAACAGGCUGAUACCGCCCAAGAGUUCAUAUCGACGGCGGUGUUUGGCACCUCGAUGUCGGCUCAUCACAUCCUGGGGCUGAAGUAGGUCCCAAGGGUAUGGCUGUUCGCCAUUUAAAGUGGUACGCGAGCUGGGUUUAGAACGUCGUGAGACAGUUCGGUCCCUAUCUGCCGUGGGCGCUGGAGAACUGAGGGGGGCUGCUCCUAGUACGAGAGGACCGGAGUGGACGCAUCACUGGUGUUCGGGUUGUCAUGCCAAUGGCACUGCCCGGUAGCUAAAUGCGGAAGAGAUAAGUGCUGAAAGCAUCUAAGCACGAAACUUGCCCCGAGAUGAGUUCUCCCUGACCCUUUAAGGGUCCUGAAGGAACGUUGAAGACGACGACGUUGAUAGGCCGGGUGUGUAAGCGCAGCGAUGCGUUGAGCUAACCGGUACUAAUGAACCGUGAGGCUUAACCUUACAACGCCGAAGCUGUU
rnacentral:rRNA from 1 species